GAGAGGCUGUGGCAAGGGUCCAUGCCUGAAUGUGUAGAACAAGAACAGCUGGAGGCUGUGGCUUUCUCCAGGAAGAGGUUUCUAAAUCUGCCUCUUAGAAGAUAUCAGAAAGUUAAAGUUUCUCUUGCUGCCGCCGUGUAAGAAGGACCUUUUGCCUCCCACCAUGAUUCUAAGUCCUCCCCAGCCACGUGGAACUGCUUUCAUUUGGUCUCUUUUCGAAUCAGAAGACCCAGAAAACUUGGAUCCACUUCUGGCUCUCAUCCCUCUGGGCAGUGUGAUUUGGAUUGAGCAGAUGCUCCGGCUGCCACUCCAUCAUAUAUUGGAAACAGCAUUACUUUAUAGUAAAUCAUGACCACGGUGUAUGGCAAUGAAGUUGCAUCUGAAGCAGCCGGCACCCUAUGUGCUAGCUGGCUUUUAGACCAGGAGACUGUGAAUCUGUGGUCAGGAUCUCUUUAGGGCUGCUAAAUAUAUACUACCCACUAUCACUCGCUGGAGCUGCAGACCCUAGUUUUAGAGUUUCACUUCUUAAAGACCUUCAUCCUUAUUAAAAUGGUAAUAUCCUUACUGUCAUCAA